GACGAACGCUGGCGGCGUGCUUAACACAUGCAAGUCGAACGGUGAAGCGCCUUCCUUUUUGGUGGGUGUGGAUGAGUGGCGAACGGGUGAGUAACACGUGAGUAACCUGCCCCCUUCUUCUGGAUAACCGCAUGAAAGUGUGGCUAAUACGGGAUAUUCUGGGUCUGUCGCAUGAUGGGUCUGGGAAAGAUAUUGUUUCGGUGGGGGAUGGGCUCGCGGCCUAUCAGCUUGUUGGUGGGGUGAUGGCCUACCAAGGCGGUGACGGGUAGCCGGUCUGAGAGGGUGGACGGUCACACUGGGACUGGGACACCGCCCCGACUCCUACGGGAGGCAGCAGUGGGGAAUAUUGCACAAUGGGCGCAAGCCUGAUGCAGCGCCGCCGCGUGAGGGAUGGAGGCCUUCGGGUUGUGAACCUCUUUCGCCAGUGAAGCAGGCCUGCCUCGUUUGUGGGUGGGUUGACGGUAGCUGGAUAAGAAGCGCCGGCUAACUACGUG
rnacentral:rRNA from 1 species